rnacentral:rRNA from 1 species
AUUGAACGCUGGCGGCAGGCCUAACACAUGCAAGUCGAGCGGAUGAAGGGAGCUUGCUCCUGGAUUCAGCGGCGGACGGGUGAGUAAUGCCUAGGAAUCUGCCUGGUAGUGGGGGAUAACGUCCGGAAACGGGCGCUAAUACCGCAUACGUCCUGAGGGAGAAAGUGGGGGAUCUUCGGCCCUCACCUUUCAAGUUAACCCAAGGCCGGAUUAGCUAGUUGGUGGGGUAAAGGCCUACCAAGGCGACGAUCCGUAACUGAUCUGAGAGGAUGAUCAGUCACACUGGAACUGAGACACGGUCCAGACUCCUACGGGAGGCAGCAGUGGGGAAUAUUGGACAAUGGGCGAAAGCCUGAUCCAGCCAUGCCGCGUGUGUGAAGAAGGUCUUCGGAUUGUAAAGCACUUUAAGUUGGGAGGAAGGGCAGUAAGUUAAUACCUUGCUGUUUUGACGUUACCAACAGAAUAAGCACCGGCUAACUUCGUG